GUUAUUUUAUUUAUUGGUGUGUGUUUAUGACUUUGUGUGAUAGCCCCACUGUGCCGCAGCCCACAUAUAGAAGUCAGAGAACAGCUUUCUGGAGGCUGACCCCUCUUUCUAUCACAGGUUUUGGUUAUUAUGUUCAUGUUGGCAGGCUUGUUCAGCAAGAGUUUCUACUCACUGUUCCAUCUUGCCUGCAACCAACUUCAUUGAAUCUCGUAAUUCUCUAUCUUUUCCAUUCAGGCCUUCUUUGAGCCCCUGCACUAGAACAAUGUAAUUGUCCCCAACAUUCCCUUGUUUCUUGUAUUUCUCUCCUUCAGUGAUCUUUGGUGCACCUGUUGGUUCCCAACCUUAUGUCACAACUGCUGUUCCUCCCCAAAGCCUGUUAAUCCAAGUAUGUGGUGUGAGGUGUGGAUCUCUCUUUCAACAAGGCCUUCGAGGAAAGGGAAUCACGAGUACAACUGUGGCUCAGAGUUUCACCAAGCCUGCUCCAGUAGCAGAAAUCCUGCUAUCCCGUGCCAUUUCUCCCAUGUAGACAGUGAUUACACAGUCUCGACCUAAAUGCCACUUGACCGUGCUAUUCUCCAGCAGAGAAGCAUCUUCUGCAGUAGAUGGGACUUAACACAGAGACCACAACUGGACAAUAUGAAGACUUUAGAACACCCAGCCCUAAAUGGAAUAUCUUCAUCUUAGCCCUCCCUUCAAGGCUCAGGGGCCCCGGGCAGAAAAGGAGGCAGCAAGAGCCAGAGGUGGUGAGAGACACCACAGAAACAGCAUCUUACAGACACAACAUGACUGAUGCCCAUACACAGAGACUAUGGCAGCGCACAUAGAACCUGCACAAGUUGAAGCCAGACAUAACCCAGCCAUGUGACCAAGUCUAUUAUUUAAAGUUGGCAAGUGAGCAGACAAGCCAUCAAUCCAUGGCUUUCUGGUGUGGAAAGCAAGCUUUUUAGGCGCUAUGAAGCCCCGCACUGCAGGUAGGUGUGUUGAAUGGGAGUUAAAGGCAACAUAAGGCCCCUGUAAGAUAAUAUUCUUGGGGAAUGGAUGUUAAGAGUUAGUUUGGGUCUUUACAACAUCAGUCAUAUGGGUAUUGUUUGCAUCUGACAGUUUUUCUUUUAAGAUUAAUGUGCUUAUGAAAACCUUGUGCGUUACUCUGCGAGGCAAGCUUGAAAUCCAUCAGCAUUACCAUCGGAAUGACACAGUGCUGGGAGAGCAAACCAAAUGACAAACAGAAUCUGGUUUUCAGAGGCCAGUGUGUGCUGAAGAGAAAUGAUCUGAAGCCAAACUUGGCCUCCUUCCAGAAAUUCCUCCUGCUGCACUGUUGGCACAGCCCAUAGCAGGGACCCUUGAGCUCACUUGGAGAGAGGGAAAGCACCUGACUUGGUCUCCAGCUCAAGAGCAAAUCCCACCGAUGUUCAGCUGGAGAAACCUGGCUGGCACUUGUAGAUGUAGCAGCUACGGAAGACUCAUGGCGAACUGGCAUCACACAAAGACGGAGAACGGAUGCAGGCCUGGCAGACAGUUUCAUUUCAGCACAAUUUGGCCCGAUCCUACUUUCUCGGCUCAGAAGGUGGGUGGCCAGAAACAGAUGAGAACAACGCUUGAGAGUUUCCUCGACGCACAGUUUUUAUUUUUUUGAGUCCCAAAUCACUUCCAAAUGCAGCCGCUCAGCCAAGCGCCAAGAGAUCACGCUGAGUGAGGCAGCCGCACAUUCGAGAAGGGAGGCAUUGGUGAGACCCCGAGGCAGACUCUGCCAGGGGACUGGGCCAAGAGGCUGUCACUGCCUAGAGGAGGGGGGAGGCUGGAUUUCACACCAUCUCCGCCCAACAGACACUCUGCCAGCGAAAGGGGGCUGCGUCCUGUCUGGCCUGGCCAAGACUAAGUGGCAUGAGGAAUAACCAGAGAGCAGAUUCCGCUAGCUGCCUUGGGAUGCAAUACUAGACAUCUGCAUCUAGGGCGCCCCUUCGAGCUCCAGGCGUUGGAGGAUGGUGAAGACUGGAAUUCAGCCUGGCUGGAGAUGGAUUUCUUAACAAACAGCCUGCAUGCGCAUCUGUGUGGCUUUCAAGGAAGGAAGAGAGACCUGGAGUCUUGAGCGGCUGGAGCUGCCUAAGCCUCUGCGUGGGCUCCUCCCACUUCACUUCCCAGGUGUCUCACUAGAGGACAGCCGAUGUUCAUCCCUGGAGCCUUGGGCAGGUGGACUUCUGAAUGAGUCCCAGGGUACCCGAAGGUAGAAAUUAUUAUACUGCACCUCGACUUUUCCAGAAGGUGGGAGUAUGUUCCCAAAGAUGGCCUUCCUCUAGACGUAAACAGCACAGCAGCUCUGCGGGGGUGGAGGGGCGUUGGACUGUUGACGUCACACCUUUUAUUUUAGCCUACAGGUAGAGACAGUCCAGUGGAGGGAGGAACAGAGUUAGCGUGCCAGUCCCGCUCCUGAUACGCCCACGCAGCCCCUGAGCAAGCCAUUAACAGCCUGGCACCUUUACCCCCACAUCUACAAAAGGCGCUGACAGCGAGGAAUUCAUGGCUUACGGGGUUUAUCGUCAUCACAAACCUAGUCUGUAGACAGAGCAGCAGCUUUCCUAAGAGUCAAGCUCAAAGUCUCGAGAAUAAAUAAAUGGAAUGUAUUUAAAGACUUGAGUGUCUUUCCCAUGAUGGUGGUAGGAACAUAUGGCUGCUUCAUUCUACUGAACUAAAACUCUGGGGGUUUCAAUGUUUCUUUCAUUUUCAGUAAAUAUACAUCUCUCUCUUCUCUUCCCCAGAAGCCUGUACCAUAAGCCAACUUGUGCUUCUGUUGUCCCAUUAAAAUGUCCUGCAGGGGCAUUAUUCACACAGAU